GACGAACGCUGGCGGUGUGCUUCACACAUGCAAGUCGAACGAUGUAGCAAUACCUAGUGGCGGACGGGUGAGUAACGCGUGGGAAUCUGCCUUUAGAUGGGGGAUAACGGGCCGAAAGGUCCGCUAAUACCGCAUAUGCCGCAAGGUGAAAGGAGUAAUCCGUCUAAAGAUGAGCCCGCGUCCGAUUGGCUAGUUGGUAGAGUAAGAGCCUACCAAGGCGACGAUCGGUAGCUGGUCUGAGAGGAUGAUCAGCCACAAUGGGACUGCGACACGGACCAGACACGUACGGGAGGCAGCAGUGGGGGAUUUUACGCAAUGAGGGAAACCCUGACGUAGCGAAACCGCGUGAGCGAAGAAGCCCUUUGAGGUGUAAAGCUCUGUUAGCUGGAACGAAAACAAUGACGGUACCAGCAGAGGAAGCAUCGGCUAACUACGUGCCAGCAGCCGCGGUAA
rnacentral:rRNA from 1 species